rfam:Hordeum vulgare subsp. vulgare, WGS project CAJW01000000 data, contig: morex_contig_157514
CAAAUACUCCCUCCGUCCCAAAAUUCUUGUCUUGGCUUUACCUAGAAAUAGAUGUAUCUAAAUACUAAAAAUUGACUAGAUACAUUCAUAUCUAAACAAAUCUAAGACUAGAAUUUUGGGACGGAGGGAGUUUAAG